UCCUAGGCAAAUGGAUGGACCAUGA
rnacentral:misc_RNA from 1 species